GGGGCCUUAGGGUAGCUUGGUCAUCCUUGGGGGCUGGGGGUCCUCAGACCUGCGUUCAAAUAAGGUUAAGAUCUGUCUUUUCCUCUGAAAGUCGCAGGGGUCCCA
rnacentral:tRNA from 1 species